rnacentral:rRNA from 1 species
CGACGUAGGCGCAAGGCGUUAGUCCGGAUUCGAUUGGUGCGUAAAGAGCUCGUAGGUGGUUUGUUACGUCCGCUGUGAAAUCCUAGGGCUUAACCCUGGGCUUGCAGUGGAUACGGGCAGACUAGAGGUAGGUAGGGGAGAAUGGAAUUCCUGGUGUAGCGGUGAAAUGCGCAGAUAUCAGGAGGAACACCGGUGGCGAAGGCGGUUCUCUGGGCCUUACCUGACACUGGAGGAGCGAAAGCGUGGGGAGCAAAACGG